rnacentral:rRNA from 1 species
AUUGAACGCUGGCGGCAUGCCUAACACAUGCAAGUCGAACGGAAACGAUGGAAGCUUGCUUCCAGGCGUCGAGUGGCGGACGGGUGAGUAAUGCUUAGGAAUUUGCCCAGUAGUGGGGGACAACCCGGGGAAACUCGGGCUAAUACCGCAUACGCCCUACGGGGGAAAGCGGAGGAUCUUUCGGGACUUCGCGCUAUUGGAUGAGCCUAAGUCGGAUUAGCUUGUUGGUGAGGUAAAGGCUCACCAAGGCGACGAUCCGUAGCUGGUCUGAGAGGACGAUCAGCCACACUGGGACUGAGACACGGCCCAG